rnacentral:rRNA from 1 species
AUGGAGUCCCCGAAUCGGGCGCCGCGAAAGCUGGUGCAAGCAGAGAUCCCCUUGAGCGCCGGUAGGCUUCUCAGCGGUGGACAUGCAAGGCAGGCUUCUCUUACUGAAGAAAUCACGGUGGCGCAGGCCACCGAGAGUUCAUCACAAGUUUCAGUCAACAACCGGGAUGUUCAGGGAACGUCCGCCGGCACCGAAGAGGUCGAGACCCUGAAGCGCUUGGUGUCGGCCCUCGAAGAGCGGGCCGCCGGCAUCGAGUCGCGGUUCAACGAGUACUGUGACAUGCAGGAGCAGGAGUCGAUGUACCAGAAGAUGCAGAUCAUGUGCCUGGGGAUGAAGCUGGAGCUGCUCGAGUCCCGGAACCAGCGGCUUGAGGCAGGUGCCAACGAGAUCCGGGCAGCCGCUGAGGAGUUCGCCUUGAUGCGGGAGAAUCUCGACGCGCUACAGAGCAAAUUCAGGAAAGUUACGAAGCAGAGCAAGCAAGAAUUCGGCGCCAUUGAUGGAAGGAUCCUGGCUCUGGAUGCCUGGGAAGCUGAGGUGGCGAUGAGGUGCCAAGGCUUUGAGCAACUCAUGGAGGAGAUGAAGCAGCUGGUUUUGCAGAUACAGAAGGAGAAAGGAACAAACAGUGAGAACGUGGAGCUCGUCGUGGAGAGGAGCAUGCGGAAGCUGUCGAGCAGCAAGGACCUGCUGGAGGUGCUCCGGGACCGGUGGGCGGCGGACAUGGAAGGAGCUGAUCUACUUCGGCUGGAUCACGGCGUGCCUGCAGCACGACCUCCUGGCCAGCGAUGGCGAGGGCGGGACCGCCAAGGGCACGGCGGUGACAGGAGACGACGACGGUGA